rnacentral:rRNA from 1 species
CGUAAAGCGUCCGCAGGCGGCUUUUCAAGUCUGCUGUUAAAACGUGGAGCUUAACUCCAUCAUGGCAGUGGAAACUGAAAGGCUUGAGUAUGGUAGGGGCAGAGGGAAUUCCCGGUGUAGCGGUGAAAUGCGUAGAUAUCGCGGAAGAACACCAGUGGCGAAGGCGCUCUGCUGGGCCAUUACUGACGCUCAUGGACGAAAGCCAGGGGAGCGAAAGGGAUUAGAUACCCCUGUAGUCCUGGCCGUAAACGAUGAACACUAGGUGUCGGGGGAAUCGACCCCUUCGGUGUCGUAGCUAACGCGUUAAGUGUUCCGCCUGGGGAGUACGCACGCAAGUGUGAAACUCAAAGGAAUUGACGGGGGCCCGCACAAGCGGUGGAGUAUGUGGUUUAAUUCGAUGCAACGCGAAGAACCUUACCAGGGUUUGACAUCCUGCGAACCUCUUAGAAAUUUGAGGGUGCCUUCGGGAAUGCAGUGACAGGUGGUGCAUGGCUGUCGUCAGCUCGUGUCGUGAGAUGUUGGGUUAAGUCCCGCAACGAGCGCAACCCACGUUUUUAGUUGCCAGCAUUUAGUUGGGCACUCUAGAAAGACCGCCGGUGAUAAACCGGAGGAAGGUGUGGAUGACGUCAAGUCAUCAUGCCCCUUACACCCUGGGCUACACACGUACUACAAUGCUACGGACAAAGGGCAGCAAACUCGCGAGAGCUAGCAAAUCCCAUAAAACCGUGGCUCAGUUCAGAUCGUAGGCUGCAACUCGCCUACGUGAAGUAUGAAUCGCUAGUAAUCGCAGGUCAGCAUACUGCGGUGAAUACGUUCCCGGGCCUU